GUGGGGAAUCUUAGACAAUGGGCGCAAGCCUGAUCUAGCCAUGCCGCGUGAGCGAUGAAGGCCUUAGGGUUGUAAAGCUCUUUCGUGGGGGAAGAUAAUGACUGUACCCCAAGAAGAAGCCCCGGCUAACUCCGUGCCAGCAGCCGCGGUAAUACGGAGGGGGCUAGCGUUGUUCGGAAUUACUGGGCGUAAAGCGCACGUAGGCGGACUGGAAAGUCAGGGGUGAAAUCCCGGGGCUCAACCCCGGAACUGCCUUUGAAACUCCUAGUCUUGAGGUCGAGAGAGGUGGGUGGAAUUCCGAGUGUAGAGGUGAAAUUCGUAGAUAUUCGGAGGAACACCAGUGGCGAAGGCGGCCCACUGGCUCGAUACUGACGCUGAGGUGCGAAAGCGUGGGGAGCAAACAGGAUUAGAUACCCCAGUAGUCC
rnacentral:rRNA from 1 species